rnacentral:rRNA from 1 species
CGCGUAGGCGGCUUGGUCAGUCGGAUGUGAAAGCCCCGGGCUUAACCUGGGAAUUGCAUUCGAUACUGCCGAACUCGAGUAUGGGAGAGGAAAGUGGAAUUUCCGGUGUAGCGGUGAAAUGCGUAGAUAUCGGAAGGAACACCAGUGGCGAAGGCGACUUUCUGGCCCAAUACUGACGCUGAGGUGCGAAAGCGUGGGGAGCAAACA